GAUGAACGCUGACAGCAUGCCUAACACAUGCAAGUAACUAACGUUGCGGACGGGCGAGUAACGCGUACAGAACUUACCUCACAGUUAGGGACAACAAUUGGAAACGAAUGCUAAUACCUACCACUGUGUGAGGGCUUUGCGUCCCAUUAGCUAGUUGGAGAGGUAACGGCUCACCAAGGCGAGGAUGGGUAGCCGGCCUGAGAGGGUGAUCGGCCACAAGGGGACUGGGACGCGGCCCUUAGUCCUACUGGAGGAAGCAGUGGGGGAUAUUGGGCAAUAGACCGAAGACUGAACCAGCAAUUCGGUGUGCAAGAUGAAGUUUUCGGAAUGAAAAGUGCUUUCAGUUGAGAAGCGGUACCAACAGAGGAAGUGACGGCUAAAUACGUGCCAGCAGCCGCGGUAAUAC
rnacentral:rRNA from 1 species